GUGGGGAAUCUUCCGCAAUGGACGAAAGUCUGACGGAGCGACGCCGCGUGAGUGAAGAAGGCCUUCGGGUCGUAAAGCUCUGUCAUCAGGGACGAACGGCCGGUGGAGUGGAAAGCCACCGGAUUGACGGUACCUGAGAAGGAAGCCACGGCUAACUACGUGCCAGCAGCCGCGGUAAUACGUAGGUGGCAAGCGUUGUCCGGAAUUAUUGGGCGUAAAGCGCGCGCAGGUGGGAUCUUAAGUCCAUUUUGAAAGUUCGGAGCUCAACUCCGUGAUGGGAUGGAAACUGGGAUUCUUGAGUACCGGAGAGGAAAGCGGAAUUCCCCGUGUAGCGGUGAAAUGCGUAGAUAUGGGGAGGAACACCAGUGGCGAAGGCGGCUUUCUGGACGGUGUCUGACACUGAGGCGCGAAAGCUAGGGGAGCGAACGGGAUUAGAAACCCCGGUAGUCC
rnacentral:rRNA from 1 species